CUACGGGUGGCAGCAGUGGGGAAUAUUGGACAAUGGGCGAAAGCCUGAUCCAGCCAUGCCGCGUGUGUGAAGAAGGCCUUCGGGUUGUAAAGCACUUUCAGUGGGGAAGAAAGCCUUGGGGCUAAUACCCUCGAGGAAGGACAUCACCCACAGAAGAAGCACCGGCUAACUCCGUGCCAGCAGCCGCGGUAAUACGGAGGGUGCGAGCGUUAAUCGGAAUUACUGGGCGUAAAGCGCGCGUAGGCGGUCUGAUAAGCCGGUUGUGAAAGCCCCGGGCUCAACCUGGGAACGGCAUCCGGAACUGUCAGGCUAGAGUGCAGGAGAGGAAGGUAGAAUUCCCGGUGUAGCGGUGAAAUGCGUAGAGAUCGGGAGGAAUACCAGUGGCGAAGGCGGUCUUCUGGACUGACACUGACGCUGAGGUGCGAAAGCGUGGGUAGCAAACAGGAUUAGAUACCCGGGUAGUC
rnacentral:rRNA from 1 species